CCUACGGGGGGCAGCAGUGAGGAAUAUUGGUCAAUGGGCGGAAGCCUGAACCAGCCAAGUAGCGUGCAGGAUGACGGCCCUACGGGUUGUAAACUGCUUUUAUACGGGAAUAAAGCGCCUUACGUGUCGGGCUUUGCAUGUACCGUAUGAAUAAGGACCGGCUAAUUCCGUGCCAGCAGCCGCGGUAAUACGGAAGGUCCGGGCGUUAUCCGGAUUUAUUGGGUUUAAAGGGAGCGUAGGCCGGAUGUUAAGUGUGCUGUGAAAUGUCCGGGCGCAACCCGGGGCUUGCAUUGCAAACUGGCGUGCUUGAGUCCUCGGAAGGCAGGCGGAAU
rnacentral:rRNA from 1 species